AUGGUGUGGUUGCCCAAGGUGGUCCCCCUGUGGCUCCUCUGCCGCCCCUCUGGCUUCAUGUUCGGCAGCUACGACAUGAUGUGGGUGCGCCAGAGCCCUGGGAAGGGGCUGGAAUACGUUGCUGGGAUCGGCAAAAGUGGUAGCACCUCCUACGCGCCGUCGGUGAAGGGCCGGUUCAGCAUGGCCAGGGACAACGGGCAGAGCUCGGUGACGCUGCAGAUGAACAACCUCAGGGACGAGGAUUCCGCCACCUAUUUCUGUGCCAAAGCUGCUGGUGCUGCUCAUUGGGGUUAUGCUGAUGCCAUCGACCCCCUGUGUGGGGUCCCCAAACCUCCACCCCUCCCACCCAAAUCUGAACCGAUGAUGACAAACGUCAAACGUUGA